ACCUGGCUGGCUCAGUCCGUGGAGCAUGUGACUCUUGAUCUUGUGACUGUGAGUUCAAGCCCCAUGUUGGGCA
rnacentral:tRNA from 1 species